rnacentral:rRNA from 1 species
GACGAACGCUGGCGGCGUGCUUAACACAUGCCAGUCGAACGGAAAGGCCCUGCUUUUGUGGGGUGCUCGAUUGGCGAACGGGUGAGUAACACGUGAGUAACCUGCCCUUGUCUUUGUGAUAACUUCAGGAAACUGGGGCUAAUACCGGAUAGGAGCUCCUGCUGCAUGGUGUGGGUUGGAAAGUUUCGGCGGUUGGGGAUGGACUCGAGGCUUAUCAGCUUGUUGGUGGGGUAGUGGCUUACCAAGGCUUUGACGGGUAGCCGGCCUGAGAGGGUGACCGGCCACAUUGGGCCUGAGAUACGGACCAGACUCCUACGGGAGGCAGCAGUGGGGAAUAUUGCACAAUGGGCGGAAGCCUGAUGCAGCAACGCCGCGUGCGGGAUGACGGCCUUCGGGUUGUAAACCGCUUUCGCCUGUGACGAAGCGUGAGUGACGGUAAUGGGUAAAGAAGCACCGGCUAACUACGUG